rnacentral:rRNA from 1 species
GCCAGCAGUCAUAUCACCCUGCAUCUCAAAACUGACACCCAAAGAGGCUAAGCAGGUGUGAGCCUGGUCAAUACCUGGAUGGGAGACCUCCUGGGAAAAACUAAGGCUCCUGCUGAAA